UAUAACGUCACUCACUCCUGCAUGUCUCGUCAGAUCCAUUUACAGAAAAGUUGUUCCGGAUACUUUGAUGCAUGUAUGGUGUCUGAGUGGCAUAGCAUAGGUAAGUUGGUUGUCACAGCCAGCGAGAAACGGCAUUAACGCGAAAUCUCUAACAUUUGGGGAAAUACCCGCCAUUUAAAAAAAAACGCCUAACCGAGGAGAGUCUGCUGACAACAUCGACUUGGCUUUUCAGAUAUGGAAAGAAAUGAAAGAUUUUAAAUGUUGUAAAAGCGACGCGAAAAUUGUGUAUUUGUUACUCAGAUCAAGAAACUCCAGGGGAAACAUCCCUUGUUGAGGAUCGUGCACUUUGGACAGGGUUACCUGAAAGACCAUGCUAACCUAAGCUUUACCAGCCAAGUUUUGCUAAUUUACCAGCACCAAACCAGUAUAGGCCAGCCUGGACCAGCAUGGAAAGUCCCUUUUCACCAGGUUAGUA